rnacentral:rRNA from 1 species
CCUACGGGGGGCAGCAGUGAGGAAUAUUGGUCAAUGGGCGCGAGCCUGAACCAGCCAAGUCGCGUGAGGGAGGACGGCCCUACGGGUUGUAAACCUCUUUUGCCGGGGAGCAACGGGCGCCACGUGUGGCGUCACUGAGAGUACCCGGAGAAAAAGCCUCGGCUAACUCCGUGCCGGCAGCCGCGGUAAUACGGAGGAUGCGAGCGUUAACCGGUUUUAUUGGGUUUAAAGGGUGCGUAGGCGGAUCGUUAAGUCAGUGGUCAAAUUGAGGGGCUCAACCCCUUCCCGCCAUUGAAACUGGCGUUCUUGAGUGGGAGAGAAGUAUGCGGAAUGCGUGGUGUAGCGGUGAAAUGCAUAGAUAUCACGCAGAACCCCGAUUGCGAAGGCAGCAUGCCGGAUUCCGACUGACGCUGAAGCACGAAAGCGUGGGGAUCGAACAGGAUUAGAUACCCCAGUAGUC